GAUGAACGCUGGCGGCGUGCCUAAUACAUGCAAGUCGAGCGAACAGAUGAGGAGCUUGCUCCUCUGACGUUAGCGGCGGACGGGUGAGUAACACGUGGAUAACCUACCUAUAAGACUGGGAUAACUUCGGGAAACCGGAGCUAAUACCGGAUAAUAUAUUGAACCGCAUGGUUCAAUAGUGAAAGACGGUUUUGCUGUCACUUAUAGAUGGAUCCGCGCCGCAUUAGCUAGUUGGUAAGGUAACGGCUUACCAAGGCAACGAUGCGUAGCCGCCCUGAGAGGGUGAUCGGCCACACUGGAACUGAGACAGGGCCCAGACUCCUACGGGAGGCAGCAGUAGGGAAUCUUCCGCAAUGGGCGAAAGCCUGACGGAGCAACGCCGCGUGAGUGAUGAAGGUCUUCGGAUCGUAAAACUCUGUUAUUAGGGAAGAACAAAUGUGUAAGUAACUAUGCACGUCUUGACGGUACCUAAUCAGAAAGCCACGGCUAACUACGUG
rnacentral:rRNA from 1 species